UACGGAGGGAGCUAGCGUUGUUCGGAAUUACUGGGCGUAAAGCGCACGUAGGCGGCUAUUCAAGUCGGGGGUGAAAGCCCGGGGCUCAACCCCGGAACUGCCCUCGAAACUAGGUAGCUAGAAUCGUGGAGAGGUAAGUGGAAUUCCGAGUGUAGAGGUGAAAUUCGUAGAUAUUCGGAAGAACACCAGUGGCGAAGGCGACUUACUGGACACGUAUUGACGCUGAGGUGCGAAAGCGUGGGGAGCAAACAGG
rnacentral:rRNA from 1 species